AACUAACGCUGGCGGCGUGCCUAACACAUGCAAGUCGUACGAGAAAGCCGGCUUCGGCUGGUGAGUAAAGUGGCGCACGGGUGAGUAACGCGUGGAUAAUCUGCCCUUAAGUGUGGAAUAACGUACCGAAAGGUGCGCUAAUACCGCAUAAUGCCUGGCAACACAAGUUGUCCGGCCAAAGAAGGCCUCUGUUUACAAGCUUUCGCUUCAGGAUGAGUCCGCGUACCAUUAGCUUGUUGGUGGGGUAAUGGCCUACCAAGGCUGCGAUGGUUAGCUGGUCUGAGAGGAUGAUCAGCCACACUGGAACUGAGACACGGUCCAGACUCCUACGGGAGGCAGCAGUGAGGAAUAUUGCGCAAUGGGGGCAACCCUGACGGCAGCAACGCCGCGUGAGUGAGGAAGGUUUUCGGACUGUAAAGCUCUGUGAGCGGGAAGAAGUGUACCAUGGCUAAUAUACCACUGAUAUUUGACGGUACCGCUAGAGGAA
rnacentral:rRNA from 1 species